GUAGUCUCGCACAGAUGCAUAUCAAUAAGCGGAGGAAAAGAAGCUAACAAGGAUUCCCUCAGUAACGGCGAGUGAAGCGGGAAGAGCUCAAAUUUGAAAUCUUGAAAGGUCACCUUUCACGAAUUGUAGUUUAAAGAAGUGUUUUCUGUUACGAUCGUAAUAUAAGUUCUUUGGAAUAGGACAUCACAGAGGGUGAGAAUCCCGAUCUAUGAUUGCGAUUUGUAGCUUUGUGUAUACACUUUCAAAGAGUCGGGUUGUUUGGGAAUGCAGCCCAAAACGGGAGGUAAAUUUCCUUCUAAGGCUAAAUAUUGGCGAGAGACCGAUAGCGAACAAGUACCGUGAGGGAAAGAUGAAAAGAACUUUGAAAAGAGAGUUAAAUAGUACGUGAAAUUGUCAAAAGGGAAGCGUUUAACACCAGUGUUGUUUUCUGAAAAUCAACCUCUGUUAGCUUUAUGCAUGUUUGUUUAGACCUAAUCAGCUAUCUUGCAUGUUCUAUUGUUUGCAGUGGUGCACCUUUCAGUUUACAGGUCAACAUCAGUUUUUUUUACCGUAAAAAAGUUAAAGAAAGGUAGCUCAUGGCUCCGGUCGUGAGUGUUAUAGUCUUUUUCCUAUGCGGUAGGAGAGACUGAGGUCUGCAGUGUAGGCUAUUUGGCUAGAUACUCAGGUGCUAUGUGAUACCAUUUCAUAAACAACUUGUUGAUUAUGUUUUGUCUAUUGCAUACUCGCUUGUACUAUCAUACCUACGCUUAGGAUGUUGAGUCGUAGAGCACGCAG
rnacentral:rRNA from 1 species